rnacentral:lncRNA from 1 species
UGAGACUAUAUUUGUAUCAAGGCUGAUUAUUCACAUAUCUAAUACAAAUUUGAUAACUCAACAUCUAGAACCAGGCUGUUUACUUAAGGAAAACUAGACUACAUAUGAAAGCUUCAAAUAAUUGUGACUGCUUCAUGUUCAGAACCAAACGAAAAUGAGACAGGUUUAAAGACCAAUUCCCUCAGCACAUAAAAUGACAGCCAACACCUAAAACAGCCCAAGCAUAGUCCAGUCUCAGUCAAAUUACAAUUGUAUACAAAUUGGAACUAAAAUACAUAAAGCUAUUGUGUUUAAACUAUUUAGGCAUCAGUACAUGUAGUCCAAACAGAUAAGAUUCAAGAAGCAAAAGGUAAGUAUUUCCAUUUGUAUUCCCACUUCAAAUCAGCACCAAUAUAUCAGGAAAGAAAGCAAAUACCUGGACUGGAAAAAGAGAACAAAAGAAGGAAGAGCAGUCAGCAGCAACGGAUAACACAGUAUCACCAACGGAAAAUCACCAGCAGUAAUGGAAUAGUUUAAACAAAAACCAACACAGCAAUACCACUCUCCAAAUCAGAAAUACACUCAAACCAAAGACCAUAUUGAUUUGUAGAACCAAACAGCAAUACUGAUACCAAAACAGAACAAACUGAGCUCGGAUAAGUUCAUAAACAGAAUCAAUAGACUGCCAAAUAGAUUCAACAAUCAAAAGGGGUAAGAAGUAGUGCUUGGAAUCCAAAUUUUGCCUUGAACUCAAUGGAACAAUACCCUUUCUUUUAAAUUCUCUCUCAGAAUUGAUUCAAGACCCAAGACAAAUAGAACCUAAGAGAAUUGAUUGCUUCUUUCCUAAAACUUAUGAUAUUCUUUCAAGUUUGACCUAUGAAAACUGAUUUCAAAAGCCCGCCCCUUAACUUUGUCGUAAGCCCCUCCAUCUAUACUCAAAUCCUUUCACCCUUUUCAGCCCUUCUUUUUCUUUUAAUGUUGAAAAAGAAACCCUUUUAUUAUUACCCCAUGCUUCUUUUUUACUUUCCAGCUUUAUCUAUUCUUCUAAUAUGUGAACCCUUUUAGCUUUUUCAUUAUUACUUACUGUUUUUAAUUUCUAAAUUAGUAAAAAACAUUCAACAGAUUAUUACUCCCACAACCCAUUAGAGCCCUACUUAUUACUCAGUGGCCCCUUAUUAAUAAAGCAUUAGUUUAAGGGUACAUCAGGACCCUACUCGACAGACUACCCAGUAAAACCCUAUUUUCAAACUUCCAGUCUAUCCAAAAUACCCUUGACAAACCCUGACCCCAUACUAUACCUCAUUAGCUAUAACCAAAUACACCUAAUAAAACUCAAUAAACAGUUUAAACUAGAACUUAGAUUAGAUCAAAAAUGGUAUAAAAAAUGAAGGGAAUAAGGUAACCAUAUUGGGAACCAAUCAUGGUUAACUUAGACAAAAUGAAUGUGCCAGAAAAACACCAAUAUGAUGAACAACAGGAACAAACUGAAACAGUAUGAUGCACAAACAGAACGAAGAGUGAGCUUAUCAUCAUUCUAAAUCAAACCUAUACAAAAAUGUAGGGUCACUUGACAGUGAACUAAAUGCCUAAGGAUCAGACAUAACACAUUCUACAUUAAACCAUUCGACGAGAACUACUGAGCUUCAAACAAGAAUGAAUUAAUUGAGGAAACUAUUUAUAACCUAUGUUAUCAAGUGUCAGGAGAUACCAAGUAAAAGGUAUGAUGGAGAGGAAGAAGAGAAAUAAACAAAAGAUGAAUUAUAAACCUAUUUUAGGCAAACAAAUAAUCGAUUGAACUAUUCAGACGAAUAUUGGAGUAUUAAUCUAACAAAAAUAAGAAAGAGAGGCGGAUUAAGAACCUAUAAUUAACUUAAACUAAAACCUAAGAAAAGCUAAUUAAAACUUAACACAAACAAACGAAAAUAUAUAUAGAAAAAAGAAAAAGAAGAUAUUAAAGAAAACUUAUUGAUUUUUCGGAUUCCAAACGACAUGCUAUUCGAAGUCGAUUUCCAGUUAGUAUUAUAUGCCUAUUUCGUCAGAAACAUGCCUAUAAUACUAACUAGAAACCAACUUGACCCUGACAACUUCGAAGCAGUCUCGAACCCCUGAACCCUAGAUCCGUCAUUUGAUGAGUUUAAUCGAAUUUAGACCAAAUUGGUAAAGGAUUAGGGGAGAGGGUGUUCUGGUGGAUAGCGGGUGUGAUUUUGGGUGGAUUGGACGACCUAGGGUUUUCGCUCGAAUCUUCGAUUGAAGAUUCGAGACGGUUCGUGAUGAUUCGAGUUUAACGAAGUAUGUAUUAGGACUGAGGGGGGUCAGAUGGUCAAGGGGUGUUAGUUUCUGGCCGGCGGAUCACCGGCCGUUGGGUUUCAGGCGAGAGGAUUCAAUGGCGGCUAGGGUUCUUAGAGAGACCAAAUGGUCUCUGGUCUAUGAUCUAAGAGACGAAGGGGGAGGGUGUUUGGCUAUGGGGGUGAGUAAAGGAUUUAGGUUUAUAUACGAAGGGGGAAAAUGAUCCUGGCCGUUAGUCCUGCUAAGAUCAACUGCUA